UACAGCCAUAUCAUGUUGAAAUGACAGUUCUCGUACAAUCACCAAAGUUAAGCAAUGCUGAACCUGGUCAGUACCUAGAUGGGUGACCAUUUGUGAAUACUAAGUGCUGUA